AGUCGAGCGGAAACGAGUUAUCUGAACCUUCGGGGAACGAUAACGGCGUCGAGCGGCGGACGGGUGAGUAAUGCCUAGGAAAUUGCCCUGAUGUGGGGGAUAUCCAUUGGAAACGAUGGCUAAUACCGCAUAAUGCCUACGGGCCAAAGAGGGGGACCUUCGGGCCUCUCGCGUCAGGAUAUGCCUAGGUGGGAUUAGCUAGUUGGUGAGGUAAGGGCUCACCAAGGCGACGAUCCCUAGCUGGUCUGAGAGGAUGAUCAGCCACACUGGAACUGAGACACGGUCCAGACUCCUACGGGAGGCAGCAGUGGGGAAUAUUGCACAAUGGGCGCAAGCCUGAUGCAGCCAUGCCGCGUGUGUGAAGAAGGCCUUCGGGUUGUAAAGCACUUUCAGUCGUGAGGAAGGUAGUGUAGUUAAUAGCUGCAUUAUUUGACGUUAGCGACAGAAGAAGCACCGGCUAACUCCGUGCCAGCAGCCGCGGUAAUACGGAGGGUGCGAGCGUUAAUCGGAAUUACUGGGCGUAAAGCGCAUGCAGGUGGUUUGUUAAGUCAGAUGUGAAAGCCCGGGGCUCAACCUCGGAAUUGCAUUUGAAACUGGCAGACUAGAGUACUGUAGAGGGGGGUAGAAUUUCAGGUGUAGCGGUGAAAUGCGUAGAGAUCUGAAGGAAUACCGGUGGCGAAGGCGGCCCCCUGGACAGAUACUGACACUCAGAUGCGAAAGCGUGGGGAGCAAACAGGAUUAGAUACCCUGGUAGUCCACGCCGUAAACGAUGUCUACUUGGAGGUUGUGGCCUUGAGCCGUGGCUUUCGGAGCUAACGCGUUAAGUAGACCGCCUGGGGAGUACGGUCGCAAGAUUAAAACUCAAAUGAAUUGACGGGGGCCCGCACAAGCGGUGGAGCAUGUGGUUUAAUUCGAUGCAACGCGAAGAACCUUACCUACUCUUGACAUCCAGAGAACUUUCCAGAGAUGGAUUGGUGCCUUCGGGAACUCUGAGACAGGUGCUGCAUGGCUGUCGUCAGCUCGUGUUGUGAAAUGUUGGGUUAAGUCCCGCAACGAGCGCAACCCUUAUCCUUGUUUGCCAGCGAGUAA
rnacentral:rRNA from 1 species